CGUGUCAUGUCACAUGAUCUCUGCACCUGCUUCACAUCUUCUGUUAAUUAGCCAUUACUUGGCAGUUUCCCCGUGGUCUUAACUGGACUCCUUUGCUUUCCCUUAAGCACCAAGUGAUCCGAGUUGAAAUCCGGAGCAGAUGUGCAGGGCAGAAGGUGGAGAAAAAGAGCGAAGAAAAAUGCAGAUCCAAACAAGUUGGACUUUCUUUCCGCACCAGCAAUCAGGCUGUCAAUCAGGAGUUAAUAUGCCCCUGAAAAGAAAAAAACAAAAAUAAAAAUAAAAAUAAAAAAAAACACUUCAA